rnacentral:tRNA from 1 species
GGAGAGGUGGCCGAGUGGUUUAAGGCGCACGCCUGGAAAGUGUGAGUUCCGUGUGGAGCGGGACCGAGGGUUCGAAUCCCUCUCUCUCCG